rnacentral:snRNA from 1 species
AUACUUACUUGGCGGGGGAGAUACUCUGACCAGGAAGGUGGUUUUCCCGGCGGGAGACUCACCCAUUGCCCUCUGCCUGGGCUGGCCCCUGUGAUUCCCCCAAAUAUCAGAAAUGCAGCUGCAUAAUUUGUGGUCAUGAGGGACUGCAUUUGCAUUCUAAUU